rnacentral:rRNA from 1 species
GAGAGGUGCUGCAUGGCUGUCGUCAGCUCGUGUUGUGAAAUGUUGGGUUAAGUCUCGCAACGAGCGCAACCCCUAUCGUCUGUUGCCAGCAUUAAGUUGGGCACUCUGACGAGACUGCCUGGGUUAACCAGGAGGAAGGUGGGGAUGACGUCAAGUCCUCAUGGCCCUUAUGUCUAGGGCUACACACGUAAUACAAUGGCGCGUACAGAGGGAAGCGAACCUGCGAGGGGGAGCAAAUCUCAAAAAGCGCGCCUCAGUUCGGAUUGGAGUCUGCAACUCGACUCCAUGAAGUUGGAAUCGCUAGUA